UACAGAGGUGGCAAGCGUUGUUCGGGAUUACUGGGCGUAAAGGGCGCGUAGGCGGCCUACUAAGUCAGACGUGAAAUCCCCCGGCUUAACCUGGGAACUGCGUCUGAUACUGGAAGGCUUGAGGAUGGGAGAGGGAUGUAGAAUUCCAGGUGUAGCGGUGAAAUGCGUAGAUAUCUGGAGGAACACCGGUGGCGAAGGCGGCAUCCUGGACCGGUAUUGACGCUGAGGCGCGAAAGCCAGGGGAGCAAACGGG
rnacentral:rRNA from 1 species